UACGUAGGGUGCAAGCCGUUGUCCGGAAUUAUUGGGCGUAAAGAGCUCGUAGGCGGUUCGUCGCGUCGGCUGUGAAAACCCGGGGCUCAACUCCGGGUCGGCCAUGCGAACUGGUGGGCUCGAGCACUGUAGAGGCAGGUGGAAUUCCGGGUGUAGCGGUGGAAUGCGUAGAUAUCUGGAGGAACACCGGUGGCGAAGGCGGCAUCCUGGACCAAUUCGUGACGCUGAG
rnacentral:rRNA from 1 species